rnacentral:rRNA from 1 species
ACGGGUGCGUAACGCGUAUGCAACCUACCUUUAUCUGGGGGAUAGCCCGGAGAAAUCCGGAUUAAUACCGCAUAAAAUCACAGGAUGGCAUUAUCCAAUGAUCAAACAUUUAUGGGAUGAAGAUGGGCAUGCGUGUCAUUAGCUAGUUGGCGGGGUAACGGCCCACCAAGGCGACCAUUACUAGGGGAUCUGAGAGGAUGGCCCCCCACACUGGUCCUGAGACAAGUCCACACCUCUACGGGAGGCAGCAGUAAGGAAUAUUGGUCAAUGGAGGCAACUCUGAACCAGCCAUGCCGCGUGCAGGAAGACUGCCCUAUGGGUUGUAAACUGCUUUUAUCCGGGAAUAAACCACAUUACGUGUAAUGUGCUGAAUGUACCGGAAGAAUAAAGAUCGGCUAACUCCAUGCCAGCAGCCGCGGUAAUACGGAGGAUCCAAGCGUUAUCCGGAUUUAUUGGGUUAAAACGGGUGUAUAGGCGGCCUGUUAAGUCAGGGGUGAAAGACGGUAGCUCAACUAUCGCAGUGCCCUUGAUACUGAUGGGCUUGAAUGGACUAGAGGUAGGCGGAAUGAGACAAGUAGCGGUGA